UACGUAGGGUGCAAGCGUUGUCCGGAAUUAUUGGGCGUAAAGAGCUCGUAGGCGGUCUGUCGCGUCUGCUGUGAAAAUCCAGGGCUCAACCCUGGACCUGCAGUGGGUACGGGCAGACUAGAGUGCGGUAGGGGAGAUCGGAAUUCCUGGUGUAGUGGUGAAAUGCGCAGAUAUCAGGAGGAACACCGGUGGCGAAGGCGGAUCUCUGGGCCGUAACUGACGCUGAGGAGCGAAAGCAUGGGGAGCGAACAGG
rnacentral:rRNA from 1 species